rnacentral:siRNA from 1 species
UCGCCUCAACGACCCUGAGAAU